rnacentral:rRNA from 1 species
AACGAACGCUGGCGGCAGGCCUAACACAUGCAAGUCGAACGCCGUAGCAAUACGGGGGUGGCAGACGGGUGAGUAACGCGUGGGAACAUACCCCUCGGUUCGGAAUAACUCAGGGAAACUUGAGCUAAUACCGGAUACGUCCGAGGUUUUAAUCGACCUUGGAGAAAGAUUUAUCGCCGGAGGAUUGGCCCGCGUCUGAUUAGCUUGUUGGUGAGGUAAUGGCUCACCAAGGCGACGAUCAGUAGCUGGUCUGAGAGGAUGAUCAGCCACAUUGGGACUGAGACACGGCCCAAACUCCUACGGGAGGCAGCAGUGGGGAAUAUUGGACAAUGGGCGAAAGCCUGAUCCAGCCAUGCCGCGUGAGUGAUGAAGGCC